GAUCAUGGCUCAGGAUGAACGCUAGCGACAGGCUUAACACAUGCAAGUCGAGGGGCAGCGGGGAGUAGCAAUACUUCGCCGGCGACCGGCGCACGGGUGAGUAACACGUGUGCAACCAACCCCGUACCGGGAGAUAACCCGCGGAAACGUGGACUAACAUCCCAUAACACUGGAGGAUCGCAUGAUCUUUCAUUUAAAAUUCCGGUGGUACGGGACGGGCACGCGCGACAUUAGGUAGUUGGCGGGUAACGGCCACAAG
rnacentral:rRNA from 1 species